rnacentral:tRNA from 1 species
GCAGUCGUGGCCGAGCGGUUAAGGCGACAGACUAGAAAUCUGUUGGGGUCUCCCCGCACAGGUUCGAAUCCUGUCGGCUGCG